UACAGAGGUCCCGAGCGUUGUUCGGAUUCACUGGGCGUAAAGGGUGCGUAGGUGGCGAGGUAAGUCGGAUGUGAAAGCUCGGAGCUCAACUCCGAAAUGGCAUUGGAAACUACCUUGCUUGAGGGUUGGAGGGGGGACUGGAAUUCUCGGUGUAGCAGUGAAAUGCGUAGAUAUCGAGAGGAACACCAGUGGCGAAGGCGAGUCCCUGACAUCUCCUGACACUGAGGCACGAAAGCGUGGGGAGCAAACAGG
rnacentral:rRNA from 1 species